UAUGCUUUCAACCCUUUCCCUUCAAGUGUUCAUUGCUCAACAUGCGCAGUUGUGCGGUACAGCAUAGCUGUUUCGGUCUCAUUCCAUUAUCGUUCAGUUCCAAGUGUAGGAAUAGGUCUGCAGCGUUCUCCCCUGUAUAAGGACGCACAUGCUCCUUAAGAAGAGCUACCUGAUAGUAUGUUCGAGGUCCCAAUUGCAAUGACACUAAUAACUGAAGUUUGCUUGGUUAAUCACAAAGCGCAUUGCAGUGACACUCAAACUGCUGACUGACUUAUGUUUUUUUUUUCUCAAGGCUAUACUGUUUCUCCUAUGGUGCUUUGCUUAUGUUCUUGCAAGGUCAGGACUCACGUCUCAGGGAUGAUCUUAGCCUCUUUUGUUGCAAUUUGCUUAUAUUCUUGGGCUUACAUAUAAGAUGACUUAUUUCUUUAUGAGGCUUUCUUAUAUUAGGACCCGCUUCUUCUUAUAGUUAGUUUGUUUUGUUUAUUAUACAUGUGUCUUGGCCUCAUGGGUCAUUACCUGUAGAAAGAAAAAAUAAAUUAACUUUCUCUUCAACACCAAUGAAUUAUGAUUCUUGUAUCUGUUAUGUGCCUUGAUUGAUUCUAGGGGGUAGAUGUAUAGGUCUUUAUGCAAUCAUCAGUCAUUUGUGCGAGAGUGUUUGAUCUUGCACAAACACAUUCUUUGUACUGAGAGAUGUGGAGGGUAUGCCUAUCAGACUUUUCUCUUUUAUUUUCAUUUCAACUUUAGACGAUUUUGGUUUUGCUUAAAUUGGUCUCGGUCUGGCGUAUGUUAUAUGGAGUAACGAUUUGAUGUAUAUACUAGCUGCCUAGAUACUUUGAAUGCAUGUAAUAUAGUGGGUGUAAUGAUAAGUGUUUGAAAGUCUUAAAAUUGCCAUUGCCAUGGUCACACAGUCAUGUUAACUGUAAGUGCUGAGCUCACAACAUACAAUUCUGCAAAUAUUUUAAAGUGCAACCAUACUCAUAGAUUGACAUGGGGAAGAUUUCUGUUGGUGGAAUUCCAGGCUUCUUUUGAUUCGGCUCAGCAUGUAUGAGCAAGCAUGCUUAUCUUAGUCCUAUACACUAACUUGUUUAUCUUGUUUUAACAUGUACUGUGUAAUGUCUGCUGUUGUUUCUCAAUGACAGGACUUGUCAGGGUAACUAUUCAUGCUACUGACCUGUGCUUUUUGCAUAUGUAGAUCUGUAUGAUCAGUAUUUCUCCUUUGAACCUUGCUCUCUUUUAUUUAACUUACACCAGGAUUUCUUUGCUGAGUGAUUCCAUUUUUGCUUUUUCUGAGUUUAUGUAUGUGCUUUAUGCUGAUGUUAUGCUUUAUUGCUUUGCUGCGAAUGUAUUGACGCAUCACUCUACUAAAUUAAUGCUCAAGCUUUUUGUUCUUUCAUCAACAGUGUCCUAAUUGGCUAAAAUUGCUCCCACAAGCAGGACACUUUAAUCACAUCUGUGCUGACAUGGAUAACUGUCUCUUGCUGCAUCUCAACCAGGUAAUACGUAGCCCAACAUUGGUUUGUUCUUUAAUAACUAAGCAUGCUAUUAAUUUCCUGUUGAGAGUGUCCUUAUAAAUAUUGUUGUGAUUUAGAGGAGUGCCCUAAUGAGUAUAUCUGAGUUCUGACUGUAUCUAUGCAAUGCAUGCUGAUACCCAGUCAUAAUAGAAGAUCUGAAUAAGAUCCCUUUGCUUUACAACUCACUGAAAGGCCAUCUGGCCUCAUGAAUAGUUAUGUUUUGGAAAUUCAUGACAAUUUUUGCUGACUUAUUCAUUUAUAAUAUAUCUAUAUGAUUCAUACACACUAACUGCUAUCUAUUCUUCUAAAGCUCAGUUCUGGUGACUUUUCCCUUGGGCCAUUAUCUUCACUCAAUCCUUCCCGGUAAUUUCGUCCACAUUGUCUUCUCUUCCCCAUCUGCCAUCCUCAUCUUGCAUCUGUCUCUCUGAUUCGUCACUGCACGAUAACUGAACCACCACCCAUCAGUUGUGCUAACCCUUUGAUUCCUAUCUUGAGCUGCCCCUAUGAGUAAUAUUCACCAGCCCUCCCACUUCUGCUGCUGUGGUGCAUCUCAGUGGCGGUUCUGCCAACAACGACCACACCCUCUACGAUGAACAGAUGCUAAUCUUGAAGUCCAAACCAAGCUCCUCUAACACUCCCUGGGCACAUGUUGCAUUUAACUUUGUUACAAGAUUCCACUGCAUUACUUUAUCUCUUUUGCUGGAAUAUAUUGAUUUUCCACUGGAAUUAGUAAUACCCCCACAUCAGGUUCUUCCAUAAUCUUCCUCUCAUCCCUGUUUUCUGUCUCCAAAUCUGUAUAGCCAAAGAGUAAACAUUCUAUCUAAUUUCUUUUCAAGAUUCAAUCAAUAUCCCACUUCUAUUUAUAUCUAAAUAGUUCAGUUUGCCAUUUGGUUGUUUUCUUGCUGAAAAUCUGUUCCGUUCAAGUUUAGCCUUUUGGUCUCUCUUCCCCCUUUCUCUUGGUUUUCUGCCCCAGAUGGUUUUUUAUUACUUGGCUCUUAUCGUUGUGUGUGAUAUAGGUGCUUGCAGGAGCAUGUAAAAGCAAGGAUUGCUAGAUGGUGAUAAUGGAUGAUAAGUCUCUGCAUUCCAAUUUUCUGUGCUCUACUCUCUAUUUGUGCUGCUGGCUAUAUCUGCCAAAUUACUUCCUGUCAGCAAACCAUUACCUGAUAUCUUUGCACAAGCGAUUAACACAUUUGAGGCCUUACUGGGACCCAUUUUCUCUGUACCUCUAGCUCUUAAUUUCUAUGCUUUGUACAUUCAAUUGAAAGCACACUGCAUUGGUUUAAGAAAACGAUGUUUAUACUGAAUCUCAUUUCCAAUUCAUUAAAACUAUUUACACCAACUGCUUCGUACGUCAUUUCCAACUUUUACGGUGAGUAACACUGUUUUUUUGUUAUUUGUGUUUCAGCUGUCAACAAUAGUAUCAAAAGCAACUAACAAAAAGAAUGCAAAAAAAAAAAGUUUUACUCUAUGAAAAUGUUUAGGUGCCGUCCUUUUGUCUAUCUUCUGCUAAUUAACUGAGUAUGGACUUGAACAUACAGAGACAUUUAGUUAACCCCCUGGCCACUUUUGUCAUUGCUGGAAUUGGGAUUGUAUGUCAGUCCGAAGAAUGCGUGCAUGUUGACAUAUAUUGUUUCAGUAGAAGCUAGCUAGUUUCCUCAAAGUGGCUUUAUAGUACAGAAAUUUGUAAAGCUCACAAAUUCUAGAACUCAUUUAUAUUUUAGCACAUAUCAAAGCAACAAAAAGAAAAAGCAAAAAAAAGAAACUGAUAAAUUGAUGCUCAAAGUCAGAAUAAAGAUAGCUGCGCAAAAGGAGUUUUUAUGUAUCUUUGUGCGUUGUGCUUCAGGGUCUUGACCUUUUUCUUUCCAGGCCAUCAGUUCCGUCAAGGCUUGAUUCAUUAAGAAAUUUAUGACAGGAAAGGGAUGCAGUUUCCAAACUGUUCUUUUAAAAUUAAUUACUUUAGUUUCUUUUCAUUAAUUAAUGCUUUUUAUAGUUUUCCUCUCCCAGAAUAUUUAGAGCUCUACCUUUCUAGGUGCACAUGUUUUGUUUUGUACCUCUCCUAUAACUUGUUGAUUAAUCAUAAAAUUGUUUCAUACUUUCAUGCAUACAUGUGUCUACGAGUUAUAGCUAUGACUACAGAGCUUGCUAGUUUUUUUUUUUGACGUCUCUCAUCUGGGUAUAGCUGUAGUAUCUGCUCAUGCACGAACACACACCAACCCUACACACGCACACCACCCUCACACCACAUGUACACAAACAAUCAUACAACUACACUUAGAUCAGUAGAUUGUAUCCUGGGAGAGAUCACCGGCACUAUCCAUAACAUACAAGUGCUCGAGGAAAGGGAAGAAGGCUGUAGCUACAAGUGUUAGAGUUGCAUUUAGUUUGUUUUAGUUGAUAUUUGAUUAGUUGAGAUUUGUUUGGCAGACUUCUUCACAAAGGCACAGACAAGGGCUCAGCACAGCUACUUCCUCUCCAAACUCAGUGUUGUGGAUCCCCCGUGAGUUUGAGGGGGGGUGUUAGAUAUAUAUGUAGCUGUGUAUAUUUCUCUUGUUUUCCCCUCUAGUUGGAGGGCCUCUUUGUGGCAUCAGAUCGGGGGGGGGGGGGGGGGGGGGGGGGGGGGCGCUGAUUCAUGUUUCUAUGGGUCUGGGGUAGUGGCAGAAUACUGUCCAUGGCGGCAAUGGCCACUUGCUGUGCCAUAGCUAGAUGUGGCACUAAGGUUGAUAAAUGGAAGUGUCGAGCUGCUUGUGAGCGUUACCAGGCUGCUUUGUUUCCUUUUGUUGGGCCAUCCUGUGAGUCCAUUUACUGUUGCAGCAGCGGCCAACAAGUGCUGCUGUUGAGGUCAGCAAGGCAAGCCAGAGCAAGGGUGGCUGGAGCCAAGGUAGUAUGCAGGUGGUGAGCCCAGGUGAAAGAUGGAGACAGUUGCCGAUGCAAUGGAGUGGGUCUGGACAGGUGGCAACUGGGAGGCCAUGCCUUUUAUCGCUACCUGGUCCGUGGACAUCCCUUUUGGUUCUGCGGUCUUUGUUUUCAUCAACGCAGGAGAGCUGCACCUGCAUGUCAUUUUAUUAAGAGGAAAAUUAUACGCAGGAGAGAGGCAGAAUGCCCAGUCCCAAACACAAAUGACAACGAGCACCACCCAAACCUCAAAAAGGGAUCUGCAUAUCUGUAGGCGGAUUGAUGCUUUUGCCAUGUGUGUCUGAUGUUUAUGCAUUCAAAGGGUUAUGUACACAGAUAAUUAAGAGUUUUCCUAAUUUAGUUCUUUUUUUGUGACCCUGCAUAUGGCAUAUAAUAAAUCAAUUUGGCUUUGUGCUUUCAAGAA